CCUGAGGUAUGGAAGACGGCAAAUGUAGUUCCCAUUUUUAAAAAAGGAGACAGAAAAGAGGCACUAAACUAUAGACCUGUGUCACUGACGUGUAUAGUAUGCAAAGUUAUGGAGAAGAUUAUCAGGAGGAGAGUGGUGGAGCACCUGGAACGGAACAAGAGUAUAAAUGCCAACCAGCACGGAUUCAUGGAAGGCAAAUCCUGUGUCACAAACCUUCUGGAGUUUUAUGAUAAAAUAACAGAAGUAAGACACGAGAGAGAGGGGUGGGUUGAUUGCAUCUUCUUGGACUGCAAGAAGGCCUUUGACACAGUUCCUCACAAGAGAUUAGUGCAGAAGCUAGAGCAUCAGGCGCAUAUAACAGGAAGGGCACUGCAAUGGAUCAGAGAAUACCUGACAGGGAGGCAACAACGAGUCAUGGUACGUAAUGAUGUAUCACAGUGGGCACCUGUGACGAGCGGGGUCCCACAGGGGUCGGUCCUAGGACCAGUGCUAUUUUUGGUAUAUGUGAACGACAUGAUGGAAGGGUUAGACUCAGAAGUGUCCUGUUUGCAGAUGAUGUGAAGUUAAUGAGGAGAAUUAAAUCUGAUGAGGACCAGGCAGGACUUCAAAGAGACUGGACAGACUGGACACCUGGUCCAGCAAAUGGCUUCUCGAAUUUAAUCCUGCCAAAUGCAAAGUCAUGAAGAUAGAGGAAGGGCACAGAAGACCACAGACAGAGUAUAGGCUAGGUGACCAAAGACUGUAAACCUCACUCAAGGAGAAAGAUCUUGGGGUGAGUAUAACACCGAGCAUGUCUCCGGAAGCACACAUCAAUCAGAUAACUGCUGCAGCAUAUGGGCGCCUGGCAAACCUGAGAACAGCAUUCCGAUACCUUAGUAAGGAAUCGUUCAAGACACUGUACACCGUGUAUGUCAGGCCCAUACUGGAGUAUGCAGCACCUGUUUGGAACCCGCACUUGAUAAAGCACGUCAAGAAACUAGAGAAAGUACAAAGGUUUGCGACAAGGUUAGUUCCAGAGCUAAGGGGAAUGUCCUAUGAAGAAAGAUUAAGGGAAAUCGGCAUGACGACACUGGAGGACAGGAGGGUCAGGGGAGACAUGAUAACGACAUAUAAAAUACUGCGUGGAAUAGACAAGGUGGACAAAGACAGGAUGUUCCAGGGAGGGGACAGAGAAACAAGAGGCCACAAUUGGAAGUUGAAGACACAAAUUAGUCAGAGAGAUAUUAGGAAGUAUUUCUUCAGUCAUAGAGUUGUAAGGCAGUGGAAUAGCCUAGAAAAUGACGUAGUGGAGGCAGGAACCAUACACAGUUUUAAAGACGAGGUUUGAUAAAGCUCAUGGAGCGGGGAGAGAGAGGGCCCAGUAGCAACCGGUGAAGAGGCGGGGCCAGGAGCUAAGACUCGACCCCUGCAACCACAAAUAGGUGAGUACAAAUAGGUGAGUACACACACACACACAUACACACACACACACACACACACACACACACACACACACACACACACACACACACACACACACACACACACACACACACACACACACACACACACACAUAUAUAUAUAUAUAUAUAUAUAUAUAUAUAUAUAUAUAUAUAUAUAUAUAUAUAUAUAUAUAUAUAUAUAUAUAUAUAUAUAUAUCUAAGAUAUAGUGCUCUAGUGUGUGGCUUUUCGUCCACACUGUAUAUUUCAUGGUUAAUAUCUCGUCACAUGAUUAAUAUCUCAUAUGAUUAAGAUUUCGUGUGAUUAAGGUCUCUUAUAAUUAAGAUGUCAUGUGCUAAAAUGAUAACCUUCCUAUACAUUAACAUUCUCCUUUCAUUUUUAUAUCUGCUGUAGAGUACCCCAGUAAGAGGUUGAAAUAUACGGACACAUUCAUCUUCUGAGUUUAUUUCUCCAUGUGGGUUAUUACUGAGCAUUGAGAAAUGUUUAUUAUACUUCUGUUGGUUAUUCAUCUCUUUAUGUGAUUAAUAUCUCAUAUAAUUAAGAUCCCAUGUGAUUAUAAUCUCGUGUGGUUAAUAUCUGACUUGAUUAAGAUCUCACAUGAUUAAGAUCUCACAUGAUUAAAAUCUCACAUGAUUAAGAUCUCACAUGAUUAAAAUCUCAUAUAAUUAAGCUCAUAUAAUUUAAGAUCUCACAUGAUAAACAUGUAAUAUAAUUCAGAUCUUCAUACAGUCAGAGCUAUCAAUAAUAUUGAUAGCCUGAUUUUAGUCUAGCAGUGACGUAUCGUAGUUCAAUUUUCAUGUUACUUUAUAAACAUGACUUGACACAUUUCAUUAUGGACUAUAGAUGUGUUAUUUCCUAUCUGCUCUGUUAUACUUUCCUCAAACUCAUUUUUUCUGGUAAUUUUUAGCCUUAUGGGUGGCAAACCAAAUUAUAUUUCAGGAUUCCUUUUAUUUUAUGUUAGUUGAGACAAGGCAUCGGCUUCAUCGUAUUCCAGGAAAAAGUAUAUGUAAGAGGGUAUCCAAAAAAAGUUUGACUUAAAUCCUGUUGUCAAUAACUAGUGCAUAUCAGAGUCUAUCUCAAAAAUACAUCAUUUUACAUGUAUAUAUAUAUAUAUAUAUAUAUAUAUAUAUAUAUAUAUAUAUAUAUAUAUAUAUAUAU